rnacentral:rRNA from 1 species
UACGUAGGCAGCGAGCGUUGUUCGGAGUUACUGGGCGUAAAGGGUGUGUAGGCGGUCCUCCAAGUUUGGUGUGAAAUCUCCCGGCUCAACCGGGAGGGUGCGCCGAAAACUGGGGGGCUAGAGUGCGGGAGGGGAGAGUGGAAUUCCUGGUGUAGCGGUGAAAUGUGUAGAUAUCAGGAGGAACACCGGUGGUGUAGACGGCUCUCUGGACCGUAACUGACGCUGAGACACGAAAGCGUGGGUAGCAAACAGG